GGCUAACACAUUUUAAUAUUUUUACAAUGCCUUGUUCAUAUUCGUAUGAGCUAUAUGGCCUAUUUUUUAUUCUGCUAGCAAAUUUGAUUGUAUUUCUGGGGGUUGAAAGGUCUCAGAUUUCAUAAUUUUCUGGGGGAGCAAGCCCUCGAACCAGACAGAUUUUCAGAUUUUGCACUGGAGGGGUGCCGAAAAUCCAGGGGGAAGGUGAGCCAGAGGGUGUGUAGCACUGCCAAGCAAAUUUUACAUACAAUAUUACAAAUAAAUUUCCAUAUUAAACCACUA